UGGGGAAUAUUGCACAAUGGGCGAAAGCCUGAUGCAGCGACGCCGCGUGAGGGAUGACGGCCUUCGGGUUGUAAACCUCUUUCAGCAGGGACGAAGCGCAAGUGACGGUACCUGCAGAAGAAGCACCGACUAACUACGUGCCAGCAGCCGCGGUAAUACGUAGGGUGCAAGCGUUGUCCGGAAUUACUGGGCGUAAAGAGUUCGUAGGCGGUUUGUCGCGUCGUUUGUGAAGACCAGCAGCUCAACUGCUGGCUUGCAGGCGAUACGGGCAGACUUGAGUACUGCAAGGGAGACUGGAAUUACUGGUGUAGCGGUGAAAUGCGCAGAUAUCAGGAGGAACACCGGUGGCGAAGGCGGGUCUCUGGGCAGGAACUGACGCUGAGGAACGAAAGCGUGGGUAGCGAACAGG
rnacentral:rRNA from 1 species